UCAUUAUUGAAUUGUUAAUGGGGUUUGAUGCUGGUGUCCCCCCAGGGGGGUGCAUGUGCUCGCUCUUUCCAAACCACCCUUGUGCACAUUUUUGAGAGGGAGAAGGUUCUUUCUCCCUUAAAGAACACAUUGUAGCAAUAGUGGACGUGAUUUUGUGCCGCAAGGCCCUAAUAGUAUAUAUAACUUUUAACAACGGAUCUCUUGGCUCCCGCAUCGAUGAAGAACGCAGCGAAAUGCGAUAAGUAAUGUGAAUUGCAGAAUUCAGUGAAUCAUCGAAUCUUUGAACGCACCUUGCGCUCCCUGGUAUUCUGGGGAGCACGCCUGUUCGAGUGUCAUGAAAUUUUCUCAAGUUUCCUUUUAUAUGAAAGGCCUUGGUUCAUUGGGCUUUGCCGUGUUCUUUGUUGGAAUGGCUGGCCUCAAAAUUAUUAGCCAGGUCCCUUGUGGUGUACUCGAGCGUGAUAAUGAUUUGAUCGCUGAGGGACAUCUUUUGGGAUGGCUGGAGAACCUCCACACUUCUUCAACUUUGACCUCGAAUCAGGUGGGACUACCCGCUGAACUUAAGCAUAUCAAUAAGCGGAGGAAAAGAAACUAACAAGGAUUCCCCUAGUAACGGCGAGUGAAGCGGGAAGAGCUCAAAUUUAAAAUCUGGCAAUCCUUGGUUGUCUGAAUUGUAAUCUAGAGAAGCGUUUUCCGCGCUGGACUGUGUGUGCAAGUUUCCUGGAUAUGGAACAUCAUAGAGGGUGAGAAUCCCGUCCUUGACACAGACUCCCAGUGCUCUUGUGAUGCGCUCUCAACGAGUCGAGUUGUUUGGGAUUGCAGCUCAAAAUGGGAGGUAAAUUCCUUCUAAAGCUAAAUAUUGGCGAGAGACCGAUAGCGAACAAGUACCGUGAGGGAAAGAUGAAAAGCACUUUGGAAAGAGAGUUAAAUAGUACGUGAAAUUGUUAAAAGGGAAACGCUUGAAGUCAGUCACAUUUGCUUGGAUUUCAGCCUUGCUUCGGUUUGGUGCAUUUCCUUGUAAAUGGGCCAGCAUCCAUGUUGUUUCUCAGAAAAGGGGUGAGGGAAUGUGGCUCCUUUGGGAGUGUUAUAGCCUUCUCUCGUAUGUGGGGAAUAAUAUGGAGUAGUACA
rnacentral:rRNA from 1 species